CCAAAUAGGCUAGGCUAGUAAUAUACUGUAAAACACUAAAACUCUCAUAUCUCACGCCUGUUACUCUCACGCAAAACCCUAAUUCUCUACUUCUCUCACGCCUCAAGACACGCAGUGUCGCUGGUCGCAAUCACGGCUGCCAGUGCCGGCGCCGGAGCAACUGAAAUGGAACGGCCGACGGGAAAGUUACCAGAUUCGUCCAAGUCUGGGGCGGAGAUUUCGUAGUAGGAGACUUUUAGCAAGUAAAAGUGGCCUACCGAUUGGUUUAUACAAGAGUCGAGAAAGCAUUGACAUUACAGGUUCACAGAUGCAUCUCAUUGGGAAUCUGGAAUGGAGAGACUCAUUGUAUUACUAGUAUCAUUUAAGUUGCUUUCGUAGGAACUUGUGUUUUCAGACAUUAGUUUUAAGUUGGUGUGUUUUAGUUUGAGACAUUGUUAUUGGUUUCAUAAGUUUUAAUAAAUUGUUUUUUAGUAAGUUGUUUUCCGCUGCAAAAUUCUGAGUAAGCCGAAACGUUAUCACACGGGCGAUAAUGCCUAGGUAAUUCUCUAAGGUUAUUAUAAAAGUAUUUUCUAGAAAGAGAGAAUUAUCGGGGUGUUACAUAAGGUUAAUUUUAUUUUACUAAAAUAUACAGUUAAUAAAUUCAAGGAAGGUAUAAUACGCAGAGUUGGCAACGGGAAGAAUAUUGAUCUUUGGACAGACCCCUGGACAAGUGCUGAAAAAAAGAGAUUUGUUGAGAGUGACGAAAUUGAAGGUCUCGGUGUUGUGGGGGACUUGAUAAAUUUCGAUACAAUGGAGUGGUGAGCAGAGUUACUUGACCAAUAUUUCUCUGAGAGAGAUGUACGAUGUAUCCUCGUUAUCCCUCUUAGUGCUCGUAGAGGUGCAGAUGUUUUUAUCUGGGCUUACUCUCGGGACAGAUGUUAUUCAGUGAAAACAAAAUAUAUGUUAGGCAAAGGGGGUAACCUUGAUGAUUUUCAUGGCGAUUGGGUGGAUCUCUAAAAGGUGGAUUUUUCUUAAGGUUCGUCAUUCUAUGUGGAGAUUUUGCAAUGAUUCCCUACCUGUUCGUGCAACUCUUCAUGUUCGCCAUAUUAUGGAUGUUGGCUCAUGUCUGUGGUGCCCAGAUCAUAACGAAACCGUGUUCCAUUCCCUAAUGGGAUGCGAGAGAAUUCAGCCUCUAUGGAAAAAAUGCGAGUGUGAGGAGAUGGUGAAGGGCUCGGAUGAGUGGGGUCUCUUGAGCUGAUGGCGGAAUGGAGUAAGAUGGAUGCAAAGAUGGUUCAACAAGGGUGUUUCCUUGCUUGGAAUAUCUGGUACAAACUGAACAAGUUUGUUUUCGAGAGCAAAUGUACGCCGCUUGAUGUUAUAGCCAAUUUUCUGUCUAUGUGACGUUCACAACUUCUACAAUCAACAGAUUUAUGCGGAGUCAAUUUGGGGUUCCUCUCCAAGCCCUAACAAGUGGUGUACUCCACCUGAGGGGUUAUUCAAAAUCAAUACUGAUGCAUCAUUGAGUGAGGAAGGCUAAAGUUUGAGUGUUGUAGCCUUGUAGCGAGAGAUGGUGAGGGGGUAGUCCUCUUUGUGGUGGUAAGGAGAACACGAGCUUGGUGGCCACCUGUUGUAGUGGAAGCUAAAACCAUCCACAUGGAUGUUGGAUGGGCGAAAAAACAAGGGUUCAAGGAUUUAGUCAUUGAGUCUGAUGCACAAGUUUUAAUCUCUCGCUUGUCUCGUACUUCAAUCUACUUCUCUAAUUUGGAUGUCAUCCUUGGUGAUAUUAUUUUUAUAUGUUCUAGUUUUCAUUCUUUCUCUUUUUCUCAUGUUAGGAGAGGUGGAAAUUUUGUUGCCCACCACUUGGCGAAAGUAAUGUCGUUUGGUUAUGAACAAUGUUGGGUUAAUCAUUAUCCCAGUAUUGUUUCUCCCUAUAUACUCAUCACACUCUGUCUAUGGUUUAAUGAAUGCACUAUACUUUCCCUUUAUAAAAAAUUAAUAAUUUGAAAAUGUAUUUUAUCAAAAAAAAGUAAUUGAAAAUGCAUUUUACAAAACAAAAAAAUAAAAAGGCAGGAGUCAAUGUGAAUAUAGCAACGUCUCAAAUUGUACAACCGUACAAGUAUGUCUCCAUAAAUUGUUCAGUGUGUUGUGUAGCAAAAACAUGAAUUCUCGAAACCCGAACAUUGGCUCCAACGACGCCGUCUUGAACUAGGGAUUGAGUUUCGUUCGUUAAAUCUAGAUAUAGUAAAACAUGGUUUCUUCAAGACUAGCUCAAGCAUUGUCAAAGUGCAAGAUCGUAAGAAACGAUGCAAUGUUCAGGAAUACGCGCAAUGUAUCAACCAGCAUCCUUCCCAAUGUGUCGAAGCAGGAUCCAAGUUGUCGAGUGGCCAAUAUUGGGCGAAAUCAAUCGGGGCUAGCUGAUGCUGUCAUUCAAAUUGAUGGCUCAUGGCACAAAAAGUCCAUGACAGGAGGUGCAGCUUGGAUUAUGAAGGAUGAACAUUUGCAAAAGAUAUAUGGUGGCUGCUUGCACGCCAAUGGAGUCUCUGCCUUACAUAUGGAAGUUUUAGGCUGUUUACAUGGUAUCAAAUGGGCAAUAACACAUCGAUUUCAUAAUGUAAGCAUCUACACCAAGUCUCGUGACUUGGUACAACUUCUGCAAGGAAGUACUCCAUUGGAUAUUACACUAUUAUGGCCUAUACAGGAAAUCAAAUAUCAAGCUUUGCUGUUGAAUUGGUGUUGUGUUCAUAGAGUUUCGAGGUCUGAAAUUCAUCAUGCUCAUAAUGCUGCUAUUGCUUGUAGAGCAGGGUUACUUUCUCCUUGUAGUAGUUUUUAACUGGUCUUAUGGCGUGGUUCUCUUUGACAAUGUCAAAUAAAAAUGUGUCAAAUAGCAAAUAUAUUCAUGGCUUCAUUACAUAUUUUCAUGUCAUUGAAGUGCAUGCUUCCAUAUUUUUUCUUUGUACAACGUUGUUGUGUCACCAACCUUCUUUAGGUUGCGUUUGGAUACCCAUAUUUCAUUUCAAAUAGUACAUUUCAAUUUCGGAAUUCCAAUUUCCGAAAUUCAAUUCCAA